GCAGCUUGCUGUUUUGCUGACGAGUGGCGGACGGGUGAGUAAUGUCUGGGAAACUGCCUGAUGGAGGGGGAUAACUACUGGAAACGGUAGCUAAUACCGCAUAACGUCGCAAGACCAAAGAGGGGGACCUUAGGGCCUCUUGCCAUCGGAUGUGCCCAGAUGGGAUUAGCUAGUAGGUGGGGUAACGGCUCACCUAGGCGACGAUCCCUAGCUGGUCUGAGAGGAUGACCAGCCACACUGGAACUGAGACACGGUCCAGACUCCUACGGGAGGCAGCAGUGGGGAAUAUUGCACAAUGGGCGCAAGCCUGAUGCAGCCAUGCCGCGUGUAUGAAGAAGGCCUUCGGGUUGUAAAGUACUUUCAGCGGGGAGGAAGGGAGUAAAGUUAAUACCUUUGCUCAUUGACGUUACCCGCAGAAGAAGCACCGGCUAACUCCGUGCCAGCAGCCGCGGUAAUACGGA
rnacentral:rRNA from 1 species